rnacentral:rRNA from 1 species
AGCGAACGCUGGCGGCAGGCCUAACACAUGCAAGUCGAACGAACACUUCGGAUUUAGUGGCGGACGGGGGAGUAACACGUGGGAACGUGCCGUUAGGUUCGGGAUAACUCAGGGAAACGUGUGCUAAUACCGAAUGUGACCUCCGGGGGAAAUAUUUAUCGCCAUUAGAGCGGCCCGCGCCUGAUUCGCUAGUUGGGGAGGUAACGGCUCACGAAGGCGGCGGGCAGUAACUGGUCUGAGAGGAUGACCAGCCACACUGGGACUGGGACGCGGCCCAGACUCCUGCGCGAUGCAGGAGUGCGUGAUCUUGCGCAAUGGCCUGAAGCCUGACGCAGCCCUGCCGCGUGAAUGCUGAAGGUCUUAGGAUUGUAACUUUCUUUCACCGGGGACGAUAAUGACGGUACCCGAAGAAUAAGCCCCGGCUAACUUCGUG